GUAAUUCAUUUAAUAAAAAACCUGGGUUUAAAAAAUCUCCUCGUUCUCGUUUUAAUAACAAGGGUAGACCGAGAUCUGGCAAUAAUGAUGAUCCAUCAACAAAUGGCUUCUAUUAAACACCUUCUUUGAAGUAGCACCAUAUAAAAGCCUCUUACCGCAACGUAAGAGGCUUUUAUACUUUUCUGAUUUGAGAAAACCGAGGCGAGAAAACCUUUUUAAGAAAGCCUUUAGCUGUGGCCGCAGUA